rnacentral:rRNA from 2 species
GGUUAAGCGACUAAGCGUACACGGUGGAUGCCUAGGCAAUCAGAGGCGAUGAAGGACGUGCUAAUCUGCGAUAAGCGUCGGUAAGGUGA